UACGGGGGGAGCAAGCGUUGUUCGGAUUUACUGGGCGUAAAGGGCGCGUAGGCGGCCUCCGCAAGUCAGUUGUGAAAUCUCCGAGCUUAACUCGGAAAGGUCAACUGAUACUGCGGGGCUAGAGUGCGGAAGGGGCAACUGGAAUUCUUGGUGUAGCGGUGAAAUGCGUAGAUAUCAAGAGGAACACCUGCGGCGAAGGCGGGUUGCUGGGCCGACACUGACGCUGAGGUGCGAAAGCGUGGGGAGCAAACAGG
rnacentral:rRNA from 1 species